AGAGUUUGAUCCUGGCUCAGGGCGAACGCUAGCGGCGGGCUUAAUACAUGCAAGUCGAGCGAGAAAGCAUUCUUCGGAUUGUGACUAGAGCGGCGAACGGGUGAGUAACACGUAGGCAAUCUGCCCCUAGGUGGGGAACAACAUCUCGAAAGGGGUGCUAAUUCCGCAUAUUAUCCUUUUUUCGCCUGAAAUGAGGAUGAAAGCAGCAAUGCGCCAAGGGAUGAGCUUGCGUCCCAUUAGCUUGUUGGUAAGGUAACGGCUUACCAAGGCUACGAUGGGUAGCUGGUCUGAGAGGAUGAUCAGCCACACUGGGACUGAGAUACGGCCCAGACUCCUACGGGAGGCAGCAGUAAGGAAUAUUGCACAAUGGACGAAAGUCUGAUGCAGCCACGCCGUGUGUGGGAUGAAGCCCUUGCGGGUGUAAACCACUGUUAGUUGGGACGAGUGUCACUGUUUUGCAGUGACUCGACGGUACCUUCAGAGAAAGCUCCGGCUAACUCCGUGCCAGCAGCCGCGGUAAUACGGGGGGAGCAAGCGUUGUCCGGAAUCACUGGGCGUAAAGAGCGUGUAGGCGGGAUCGUAAGUCAGAGGUGAGAUGUCGGGGCUCAACUCCGAACCUGCCUUUGAAACUACGGUUCUUGAGUGCGGUAGAGGGAAGCGGAAUUCCAGGUGUAGCGGUGGAAUGCGUAGAUAUCUGGAAGAACACCGGUGGCGAAGGCGGCUUCCUGGCCCGAAACUGACGCUGAGACGCGAAAGCGUGGGUAGCAAACAGGAUUAGAUACCCUGGUAGUCCACGCCCUAAACGAUGGUCACUAGGUGCCGGAGGAUUCGACCCCUUCGGUGCCGUAGCUAACGCGUUAAGUGACCCGCCUGGGGAGUACGAUCGCAAGGUUGAAACUCAAAGGAAUUGACGGGGGCCCGCACAAGCGGUGGAGCAUGUGGUUUAAUUCGAUGCAACGCGAAGAACCUUACCUGGGCUUGAACUGCAGUGGAAACCUCCUGAAAGGGAGGCCUCCUUCGGGACCGCUGUAGAGGUGCUGCAUGGCUGUCGUCAGCUCGUGUCGUGAGAUGUUGGGUUAAGUCCUGCAACGAGCGCAACCCUUAUCGUUAGUUGCCAUCAGGUUAUGCUGGGCACUCUAGCGAGACUGCCCGCGUUAAGCGGGAGGAAGGUGGGGAUGACGUCAAGUCCUCAUGGCCCUUACGUCCAGGGCUACACACGUGCUACAAUGGGUAGUACAGAGGGUCGCAAUACCGCGAGGUGGAGCCAAUCCCACAAAACUACCCUCAGUUCGGAUUGUACUCUGCAACUCGAGUACAUGAAGCCGGAAUCGCUAGUAAUCGUGGAUCAGCACGCCACGGUGAAUACGUUCCCGGGCCUUGUACACACCGCCCGUCACACCAUGGGAGUCGGGAGUACCCGAAGUCACGUAACCCGUGCCGAAGGUAAGUUCGAUGACUAGGGUGAAGUCGAAACAAGGUA
rnacentral:rRNA from 1 species